rnacentral:rRNA from 1 species
GACGAACGCUGGCGGCGUGCCUAAUACAUGCAAGUCGAGCGAAGCGGCGGAUGGGUGAAUAACGCGUGGGUAACCUGCCCUUAAGCCUGGGAUACCAUCUGGAAACAGAUGCUAAUACCGGAUACUAAAGGAUGGACCUGGGAUGGAUUAGCUAGUUGGUAAGGUAACGGCUUACCAAGGCGAUGAUGCAUAGACGAGUUGAGAGAAUGAUCAGCCCCAUUGGGACUGAGACACGGUCCAGACUCCUACGGGAGGCAGCAGUGGGGAAUAUUGCACAAUGGGCGCAAGCCUGAUGCAGCCAUGCCGCGUGUAUGAAGAAGGCCUUCGGGUUGUAAAGUACUUUCAGCGAGGAGGCGUUACUCGCAGAAGAAGCACCGGCUAACUCCGUGCCAGCAGCCGCGGUAAUAC